rnacentral:snoRNA from 1 species
CCAGCUGCAGCAAGAGCGCCUGGAGGGACUGACAGCUCAGGUCAGCGUAAGGCCUGCAGCUGCCACUCGCGUUCC